UACGGAGGGUGCGAGCGUUGUCCGGAAUCACUGGGCGUAAAGGGCGCGUAGGUGGCCUGUGGAAGUCUGCGGUGAAAGCCCGGCGCUCAACGCCGGGUCGGCCGUGCGAACUGCGGAGCUGGAGCACUGUAGAGGCAGGUGGAAUUCCUGGUGUAGCGGUGAAAUGCGUAGAUAUCAGGAGGAACACCGGUGGUUGUAAACGGCGUUUCUGGGACCGUAACUGACGCUGAGGCACGAAAGCGUGGGUAGCAAACAGG
rnacentral:rRNA from 1 species